rnacentral:rRNA from 1 species
CGGUGGCUGGCUGUUAAAUGCUUUCGUUUUGUUUUCAUUUUGCCAAAGGUUGGACUGGUAUUUGUUUGGUUUCAUGAUGGAACAAUAUUGCGAGUCAAAUGUGACAUGCAUGAUUGUUUAGCAUUGGAACCAAAUUUCAUGGGGUAAAGCGAGCAUCACUUCCCUUCAUUUUCUGUUUGGAGUAAAGCAUGCCUUUUGGUUAAUGGUGUGAUAACCUGGUUUGCAAGUUUAUGUUUUUCUUCUGGUUCAAACAUGAAAACAAGAGGCUGAUGGAGUGCCCUGUAUUGCUGCUACUUGAUUUUCUGUGAGCUUUCAAAUUAGUUCUGCGCUGUCCUUCAACAAUUGCUUUGCUACAUACAUAUAAUGCAGAAGAAUUGGUAUCUCCAUAGGCAAUUGGUACCACGGUACGCUUGCUUAGGCCAUCUAACAUAUGGAUAGAGAUAGAGUUUAGGCACCUGGAUAAGGGGUUAUAGAGAUUGUACACCAAUAUAGCAUUAGCUGUGCAGUAUGAAAUAACUUAAGUAUCAAUAUCAAAUGUUCUUCUCUUUUCAUAGACAAAAGGGAUAAUGUGCCAUAUAUAAUUAUGGUAUGAUGCCUUUCCCACACAUUCAAUGGACAGUCCACUUCCAUGUUUAUUUCUUCUUACACCCAAAAAAUUUCUCUCUUGCAAGUAUUGACUGAAAGAUUAGCAAUAAAAUUAUUAUAAGAGUUAUUCUUGCCUACAUCGAAGCACUAUAAUGUCUACCAUUAAGUUACAGUUUAAAGUUCAUAUAUAGUAUUAUAUGUUGUUUUUAUUAUUUCGUCAAUUGAAGCUUUCUUAUUAGAUUUUUUCAAGCUGGAUUCCUUCUCAACAUCCUAUACUAAUACAGGUGAUUGGAUAAAGUUCUGUACUGAUAGUCCGAAACUUUGUGGUCGCCCAGGCUAUGCAGCCUUUAAUCAUAUUUAACAUCGUCAUGUAAGUAAAGAUGUCAUGAUCAGAAGUCAUUGGGUAUGUGCUAUAUAUAUGCGCAAAAUUUGAUAAACUACAUUGCGCAUUCAAUUGUUUUCAGGAAACAAUAUAUUUUCUUAAUUUUUUCUAACUCAAUGUGAAAACGACAUUCAUGUUUUUUUGUCCCUCGAAGGAGAUGAGGUUUAAUAUUUGCUUACAUGACCUGGAACAUUAGGAGAUGUUCAAAUGAGUAGUUAAAGAAGAAGAAUUAUUUGCAAAGAUGAUAUCUUUCUUUUCUGUAGAAAAAUGAUGGCUAUACCCACAAUAUUGCUCGACUUAGCUUAUUUGGCCAAUCAGGAUAAUAAUAAUUUUGCGGUUUUUGUACAAGUUUUAUUAGUUUAUUGUUUUCAGAAUUAGAAUCUUGCUGAUCAACCAAUCUGCAUUUUGUAGUUUAGUAGCUACCUACAUGAGGUAGGUCCAUUAACUCUUUUGUAGAACCAGAUUGUUGAUAUUUCCUCAGAAGUAAAAAUGUUACCUUUUCCUUUAC